rnacentral:sRNA from 1 species
GAAUCUGAUUGGGGAGACAGGUGUUGUCUCCCUUCCUUAAUGCUCCACAUGCUCUGUCUGGAUUGAAGGGGAUGGCCUUUUCCAAUAGAAAAGCUAUUGGUCAGGGUAUACAAGUAGCUGUGCUCCCUGCUAGAAUCUCCAAACAAGAUCUGGAGGUCCAUUUGUAGAACAUAGGGUAGCAGAGGCUCUAAGACUCUGGACAGAAAA